UACGGAGGAUCCAAGCGUUAUCCGGAUUUAUUGGGUUUAAAGGGUGCGUAGGUGGCCUGUUAAGUCAGGGGUGAAAGACGGUAGCUCAACUAUCGCAGUGCCCUUGAUACCGACGGGCUUGAAUGAACUAGAGGUAGGUGGAAUGUGACAAGUAGCGGUGAAAUGCAUAGAUAUGUCACAGAACACCAAUUGCGAAGGCAGCUUACUAUGGUUUGAUUGACACUGAGGCACGAAAGCGUGGGGAUCAAACAGG
rnacentral:rRNA from 1 species